rnacentral:lncRNA from 1 species
CAGCAGUGCAGAAUCUGCCUCUGUGCAGUCCUGGUUCCCCCUUCCAUCCUUCAGUCCUUGUGCUGUCCUCCUUGGAGUGCAGCCAAGUCUGGAUCCUGCUCCUGCCUUGGCUGUGGGUGUAGCUGGAGUGGCUCUUCGGUAAACAGAAUUAGAGGCAAAUGUGGGAGGUUCCUGGAGUCACCUGUGGCCUGCCUCCUCCCAUUCCUGGACCCGGGCUGCCUGCGAGGCCCUUUAAAUUGCCGGUUAACACAGCCCUGGACACAGACUUCAUCAGCAUGGCACCAAGCAUCCUCCUGCUGGGGCUCCUCACCCUGUGGGCACAGCUGCAGGCAGCACCCAUUGCAGAGUUCCAUGGAGUAGCUCCAGCUGGGUGGCCACCACCAGGGCAGCCGGGAAGCACCCUGAGCCUUGAGCCUGGGAGAGAGCCCAGCAUGGAGCCUGACAAUGACAAACACACGUCCAAUAGCAAUGAAAUGGGUGACUCCAGUAGCCAUGAAACUGGUGAGUCCAAUAGCAGUGAAACUGGUGAUGAUGGCAAUAAAAAUCAGCUUUGUGAUUGCAAUGAUCAUGAUCAUGGUGACAGCAACAGUGAUAAUGCAGAUGAUGAUGGUGUCAACAGUGACAAUUCCAAAGGCAAUGAAGAUGGUGAUGAUGGCGAUAAAAAUGACCUUUUUGAUGGCAAGGACAAUGACAAUGAUAAUGGUGACAAUGACAGGGGUGAUGGUGAUAAUGGUGUCAAUGGUGACAACUCCAAAGGCAAUGAAGAUGGUGAUGAUGGUGUUAAAAAUGACCUUUCUGAUGGCAAGGACAAUGACAGUGAUGAUGGUGAUGAUGACAGUGAUGAUGGUGAUGAUGACAGUGAUGAUGGUGAUGAUCUCAUCAAUGAUGAAAAUUCCAAUAGCAAUGAAGAUGGUGAUGAUGGCAUCAGUGAUGAAAAUUCCAAUAGCAAUGAAGAUGGUGAUGAUGACAUCAACAGUGACAGUUCCAAUAGCAGUGAAGAUGGUGACUCCAGUGACAAUGAAUAUGAUCACUCCAAUAGCAAUGAAAAUUAUGCUGAUUAUGGGGGGUGGACAUUUUAGAUUGUAAGGAUGUAAUUGCCCUGGGAUUUUCAGAGAUUUUUGGGUUCCUCUUUUGUGGCAUCCAGAUCAGAUUUCAUGCUUGAUCUGUGCCAAUAAAUAUAUCUAGUGAACAUGAGAGCUUAGUGUC